GUCUAUGGGCAUACCACCCUGAAUGUGCCUGACCCCAGCUGAUCUCAGAAGCUAAGGAGGGUUGGGCCUGGUUAAUACUUGGGUGGGAGACCACCUAGGAAUACCAGGUGCUGUAGGCA
rnacentral:rRNA from 1 species